rnacentral:rRNA from 1 species
UCGGGAAUUUUGGGCAAUGGGCGAAAGCCUGACCCAGCAACGCCGCGUGAGGGAUGAAGUAUUUCGGUAUGUAAACCUCGAAAGAAUGGGAAGAAUAAAUGACGGUACCAUUUAUAAGCUCCGGCUAACUACGUGCCAGCAGCCGCGGUAAUACGAAGGGGGCUAGCGUUGUUCGGAUUUACUGGGCGUAAAGCGCACGUAGGCGGACUUUUAAGUCAGGGGUGAAAUCCCGGGGCUCAACCCCGGAACUGCCUUUGAUACUGGAAGUCUUGAGUAUGGUAGAGGUCAGUGGAAUUCCGAGUGUAGAGGUGAAAUUCGUAGAUAUUCGGAGGAACACCAGUGGCGAAGGCGGCUCACUGGACCAUUACUGACGCUGAGGUGCGAAAGCGUGGGGAGCAAACA